ensembl:snoRNA
AACCAAUGAUGAACAGAUUCUGCCAAAUGAAUUGGAUGAUUAUACUCCAUACCGUUCCUUUUAUUAUUCUGAGGUU